ensembl:rRNA 5S_rRNA 5S ribosomal RNA
GUCUGUGGCCAUACCACCCUAAACGUACCCGAUCUGGUCCGAUCUCAGAAGCUAAGCAAGGUUGGGCCUGGUUAGUACUUGGACGGGAGAGAUAAUUUGGUUGUCCAGACA